rnacentral:ncRNA from 1 species
UUUAAAUUGAUGACGGAACGAGUAUGUCACAGUCCAUUUCUAGAGAGAAACUUCCAAAGGCUGAAAGAAGUUUUAAAUGAAGGGUGACAGAACGCUAAUCCUGAGAGCAGCUAAUCCCUGCCGUCUUGCCACGUUACGGCACCAUGAGGUGAUGAAUCGAGAUUAUAAAGAUCGGUUCAUAAUUAGGGUGGUAUCGCGAGUUAACUCUCGUCCCUUUU